rnacentral:lncRNA from 1 species
CAAAGAUCAGCAACAUCAUAAAAAAAUUGGAGGAAGAUCCAAGUGCAAUAGCCCACUACACUUGGGAUUCGAGGGAUCUACGCUACAAAGGUCACAUUGUGCUUAUACCUGACUCCCCUUGCAUCACAAUCAUCCUGCAUGAAAUGCACUCCAUACCUUCAGCAGGGCACUCUGGAUUCCUAAGAACCUACAAAAGAGUGAAGC